GACUACUCGGGUAUCUAAGCCUGUUUGCUACCCACGCUUUCGCGCCUCAGCGUCAGUUACCGUCCAGAAAGCCGCCUUCGCCACCGGUGUUCCUCCUGAUAUCUACGCAUUUCACCGCUACACCAGGAAUUCCGCUUCCCUCUCCGGCACUCAAGAAAUAUAGUUUCAGGUGCAUUCCCGGAGUUGAGCCCCGGGUUUUCACAUCUGACUUAUACCCCCGCCUGCGCGCCCUUUACACCCAGUAAUUCCGGACAACGCUCGCCACCUACGUAUUACCGCGGCUGCUGGCACGUAGUUAGCCGUGGCUUGUUUUCCGGGUACCGUCAUUAUCGUCCCCGGUCAAAGAAGUUUACGAUCCGAAAACCUUCUUCCUUCACGCGGCGUUGCUGCAUCAGGGUUUCCCCCAUUGUGCAAUAUUCCCCACUGCAGCCUCCCGUAGG
rnacentral:rRNA from 1 species